rnacentral:rRNA from 1 species
UACGGAGGAUCCAAGCGUUAUCCGGAUUUAUUGGGUUUAAAGGGUGCGUAGGCGGAUUGAUAAGUUAGAGGUGAAAUGUCCGAGCUCAACUCGGGAACUGGCUCUAAUACUGUUGAUCUAGAGAGUAGAUGCGGUAGGCGGAAUGUAUGGUGUAGCGGUGAAAUGCUUAGAGAUCAUACAGAACACCGAUUGCGAAGGCAGCUUACCAAUCUAUAUCUGACGUUGAGGCACGAAAGCGUGGGGAGCAGACAGG